GAUUCAUCUAGUAGCCAUAUACAGCCCAAAAAUUUAAAACCCAGCCCAUGAACUUUAGUCAACAAAGCCAUUUUUAUACUCCCAGCACCUCACCAUUUAGCACGUCUUCUUCCUCCACCAACCACGCUGUCAACAAUGGCAACCACUGCUUCUCUUGCAAACCCUAACACGUUUUCCUCCACCAUAACCCACCGUCAACAACCUCCAGCUUCCAUCUCCACCUUCAACGCAUUCACUUCCACCAAACAACCUUCAUUCAAAACCCUAAUUUCUCACAAAACUCCAACCGUAAUCCGUCAUGCAUCCGUCAUCGCUGCGGCGGCGGCUUCCGAUUCACCGUCCUCAGCUCCGGCGACCUCAUUUCACGGCGAGUGCUACGUCGUACGAGACAACAUCGACACCGAUCAAAUCAUUCCGGCUGAAUACCUAACCCUAGUUCCGUCAAAACCUGACGAAUACAAAAAGCUCGGAUCGUACGCUCUUGUCGGUUUACCGGAAUCGUACGAGACUCGAUUCGUUGAGACUGGAGAAUACCGAACAAAGUAUCCGAUUAUUAUCGCCGGAGAUAACUUCGGAUGCGGCUCGUCGCGUGAGCACGCGCCGGUGGCGUUGGGAGCAGCGGGAGCGGUGGCGGUGGUGGCGGAGUCGUACGCGAGGAUAUUUUUUAGGAAUUCGGUUGCGACCGGAGAGAUUUAUCCGUUGGAGUCAGAAGUUAGGGUUUGUGAUGAGUGUAAGACUGGAGAUGUGGUGACAAUUGAGCUUGAGAAGAGUGUUUUGAUUAAUCAUACGACCGGGAAACAGUAUGCGUUGAAGCCGAUUGGUGAUGCUGGGCCGGUGAUUGAAGCCGGUGGGAUUUUCGCUUAUGCGCGAAAAGCUGGGAUGAUUCCUGCUUAGUAACUUAAGUCUUGUUAAAGUGUGUUCUCUAAGCUGGAAAUGAUUUGGCUGAAAAAUGAGAUUUUGAAUUGUGAUUCUUUGGCUCAUUCACCAUCAGGCUUCUGUAGACGAGAAACAUCUCAAAGCUACAUAUCCAGGCAUGUUGCGUACACAAAUCGAGUGCAAGUUUUUUUUUCCAGUGUUGAUGGCUUUAGUAGUUCCAUAAAUAGCGACAGGUUUUGUGAUUUGAUAAAUGUUUUUAUCGUUUGUUUUUCUUCGUGUCGUACAACUAGUAAAACCGGACUCAUUUUGAGAAAUAAUGUGUUGUGUGUGUUUCUGUAGGGUGGUAAUCAAGCUGUUAAACUUAUCAUUUCAACAGUUGCAAAA